AGUGAACGCUGGCGGUAGGCCUAACACAUGCAAGUCGAACGGCAGCACAGAGGAGCUUGCUCCUCGGGUGGCGAGUGGCGGACGGGUGAGGAAUACAUCGGAAUCUACUCUGUCGUGGGGGAUAACGUAGGGAAACUUAAGCUAAUACCGCAUACGACCUACGGGUGAAAGCAGGGGAUCUUCGGACCUUGGUCGAUUGUAUGAGCCGAUAUCGGAUUAGCUAGUUGGCGGGGUAAAGGCCCACCAAGGCGACGAUCUGUAGCUGGUCUCAGAGGAUGAUCAGACACACUGGGACUGAGACACGGUCCAGACUCCGACGGGAGGCAGCAGUGGGGAAUAUUGGCCAAUGGGCGCAAGCCUGAUCCAGCCAUACCGCGUGGGUGAAGAAGGCCUUCGGGUUGUAAAGCCCUUUUGUUGGGAAAGAAAUCCAGCCGGCUAAUACCUGGUUGGGAUGACGGUACCCAAAGAAUAAGCACCGGCUAACUUCGUGCCAGCAGCCGCAGUAAAAC
rnacentral:rRNA from 1 species